AGCGAACGCUGGCGGCAGGCUUAACACAUGCAAGUCGAGCGGGCAUCCUUGUGGUGUCAGCGGCAGACGGGUGAGUAACGCGUGGGAACGUGCCCUUCGGUUCGGAAUAACUCAGGGAAACUUGAGCUAAUACCGGAUACGUGCGAGAGCAGAAAGGUUUAUCUGCCGAAGGAUCGGCCCGCGUCUGAUUAGCUAGUCGGUGAGGUUAUGGCUCACCAAGGCGACGAUCAGUAGCUGGUCUGAGAGGAUGAUCAGCCACACUGGGACUGAGACACGGCCCAGACUCCUACGGGAGGCAGCAGUGGGGAAUAUUGGACAAUGGGGGCAACCCUGAUCCAGCCAUGCCGCGUGAGUGAUGACGGCCUUAGGGUUGUAAAGCUCUUUUCUUCGGGACGAUAAUGACGGUACCGGAGGAAUAAGCCCCGGCUAACUUCGUG
rnacentral:rRNA from 1 species